ensembl:lncRNA
UCCUCGGGGACUCGCGCCGAUGUUUUAACGCUUUAUUAUUUGUGCCUGAACGCGCGAGAGAAGAGAAUUAUUAGAGAAUAUGACAGAUCGAUAACGCGACUGCAACGGAUGGCUCUCCACGCACGGCUCCGUGGAAGCGAUCCCUGCCCGGAGUGAAAAAAGAAAAAAAGAGUUUUCUUUGAGGAGGGGAGAUUUCCAACAGGAGACCUCAACUUCGAGUUGGCACAACUUUUUUUACGCGAUGCGUAAAGAAAAAAAAGGACACAUGACAGAAAGACGUCGCGCACUGGCUCGACUGCAACUACAGGCUGCCUGUGCGCGGUGCUUUGGAUAUAUUAUGCUUCUAUAGGGGGGUGGAAGAGACUGAAUAAUGCAAUUAUAGAUUCAGUGUCCCAGCCUUGACAAAAGACAGGGCUUCAAUGGAGGCUUUGUUAAAGGAUUAUAUAAUGAUUAUGGGGUAAUUAUGGGAACGGUUUGGUAAUAAUAAAAAAGUAUCAAGUGCUCUCUUGUACGGACAGCUUGUUUUCUACAAUGUAAGAGCACGAUAAGACGGACGGACAGACAGACAGGCAGGCGGUGCUGCUGACAGCUAGUGGCGGGAUGACGGCAGACAGCCUCGAUUAUUCAAAAUGUCGAACCGAGAGAGGCAUUAAUGUCAGCGCCUGAGAUGCUAUCAGAUGUCCGCGGAACCGGACGUGGGCCCACAGCGGGGUAUCUGGGGGUCAUAUUCAGAAGAGCCCCCCUCCCAGCUCCCAGCCACUGCUCUCGUGAUCUUCUCCCCUCUGCGUGCUGCUUGUGUCACGCCGAGGAACAUGGAAGCGGUCAGUGUGACAGCGCGCAGGAGUCAAACACCUCUACGUCUUCUCUGAAUUCCACGCAGACAACUUUCACCGCGUGAAAUCUACACGCAGCUGCGGCGAGCAGCUUUCAUCCCAACCACGGGGCAAACGAGAGAGGCUGUAACAUCCCGUGCCAGCCCCUGGCCGCCAGCAGCCUGCUUUUAAAAGAUAUUUGCAGCUCUGUGACACAUUAGUGGACCAGCUCGCUGCCUCAUUAUGCGCUAUGAAAAUCUGAUUCCCAUGCUGCUCCUAAAUGCUCCCACGGAAUUCACUUUCUUUUCUUCGUUUUUCUUGAGCAUUUUCCAACAUAAUAAUAAAAAACUUUUCCUCCUCCUCCCCCCAAGAAAUUAGCAUAAGCAUUCCCCAUCAAUAACAGGGCUAUCUCUAUGGGAGUGAUAGCAGCGAGCAGUAGGGGUGUUUCUUUUACCGAUUCUCCAUGGAUCAACAGCGCGUCAUCAGCUCCUUUUGAACUUGUUAUAGCAAGUCAAGUGAUUCUUUAUCGGCUGACAGGCCUGACAAUCCUUCGGCGCUGGGAAAGCAGGUCCAAAGGAAGUGGCCAUAUGGACUUGAGCAUGCAAAUUUACAACAAUGCGCAAAACUCGUGUUGUUCUCCGCGACGCACGGCGACGUGGAAGCGCGAGAAACACGCGUGCAGGUGGACUGUCAGCGCGUGCACGUGUGCGACACACACCGACACGCUGGCCUGUGCACGCCGGACAAUUAAACCGAAAAUCACUACGAUGGUUUUAAUAUAAAUUAGUCAGACGAAUUUAAAAUAUUUCCCAUUAUUUAAUCAGUUUAUCUAAUAAAAAUGGCAAACAAAAGUAUUUUAUUAAUUAUAUUUUUUAUCUUAAAUUUAAUAAAACUCCAGAGGUUAAAAAAUAAAAAUAAUAAUAAUAAUAAUAAUUAGAGCAAAACAUGAUAAACACACGAACAAAAAUCUACAUUAGAUAAGGAGGAAAAUACAAAAGCAUCUGAAAUCAGGAAACAUUUACACUGUGAUGACAGGAAUGUCGGACUGUCUCACAUGAUGACUGAAAACCACCUAAACUUCAUGUAAGGUGAAGAACUAAGAUUUUGUUGAUUUUUUUGGAGCGACAAAUUUACAUAAUAAUAAUAAAAAACUAGUCAAUAAAAUCAGAAAUAGAUCCAGGGACAGCUGGAAAUAAGAAACAGUGCUGGGACAGUUUUCUGUUGGAUGUAGGUCAGUUAGUGAGACCCAGAAUAUCUCUGUAAAUAAGAAUAUCACAGUGUGGAAGGACAAAGCAGAUCAAAUCACUGAUUUAGCUGCGGUAUAUAAUCUGGCAGGGUGAGUACAAGCUUCAGUGCUGGUGAUGACUCUCAGUCGUCCACAAUAGACAGUAUGCAGCAAAUGCAUAAAUAUCACAAUAAUCCAACACUGACAGAGAGUGAAAGCAGGACGUCUCUGACCUCAAACAAAAGAAAAAUCCAGCUUGAACUUGAGUUUUCUCUGAAGGUGUUUCUUAAUGUGAGACAUAAAAGAGGGUCAGAUAUUAAAUAACAGCCCAAGGAUUUGUACUGAGGCACCGAUUCAGUGUGAGAGAUUCAGUGGUGUUAAUUACUUUACUUUUAUUAGCAUACAGAACAAACUGCAGAGGGUUUAAAAGCUGAUUAUAGUCAACGUCACUACCACCAAAACUCUCUGUAUUUUAAAUGAAAGAGUGGUCCCAGGAUGGAGCCCUGCGGCACGCCCUCAUCAGCCAGCUGUUUACAUCCCAGAAGCACAAAAUAACAACAUUUCAUCAAAGCUGCCGGUGUCCUUAUCAUCAGUCCCGUGAUAUACAUGCAACAGUGAGACACGUGUUUACUCUCAUCUCUUUUUUUCCUGCUAGCAAAGAAAAGACACGCAAAGGCAAAAACCAGACGUCCACAGUGGGGUCGGCAGUCUGACAAUCAGCACUUUCAGCUCUAAAAGCCAUCCGGUGUUCAUGGAUGCUCGAAACCACACGCAGGACAAUCCACCCACGACGCUGUCAAAGCAAAGCAAGCCCCAAAACAAGAAUCUGCAAAAGCCCCAGUUUGGGCCUCUUGUGUGUGGCUAUUACACUCAAGUCACAGCAGGGACCCCCCUCCCCGAGCGUACCAGCUCGCUCUCAGCGAGGAGACGGAGAGGAAAUGUGAUCUGUUUGUUCUGUUUGGACACGACUUGCUUUUUGUGACCGUCCGCACAAAUGUGAAAAGCUUCAGGCCCCCC